ACUCGCUCGCCUCACGGCGGGCAUGUUCAAAGAACGAAUCACGACAUACACUGAUUCAAUUCUGUUCGUUCACUAAAACGAUUCCUUCUUCUGAACGAAACGGUCGUGAACGAAACAACACAAGUUGACUACUUCCGUGUUUUGUUUGAGUAACCGAUUUUUUUUCCCCACGAAUUCUUCUGGAAUUAGUAGUUGAACGGGUUGAAACCUCUCGUUCGUCCAUCACUACUUCAAAGGUUUUAAAGGCUACUUGUAAGAUUUUUAAGUCUUCGUGUCUGGAUAAACUCGCCUUGGUAUUGGUGCACGUUGACGCUUCUCGGCCCAGUUAGCUUAGCUUAGCUCGCUAGCCGCUAACGAAGAGACGCGUUUGUCAGCACCACAUAGCAAACUCGAGAUCGCCUGUGAACUUGUUGUGAUUGUCGUGUAAAAAAAUGUGUGCAAGAACGAUAGCAAAGUAUGAGAAGGAACUUUCUGGAACGAAAGAGGAAGACGAGCCACAACGACGACUCGAGGACGCUGUUAGCAUGCAGCCUUGUGUUGUGUUACACAGAACAGACUCACGAAGGUCAUCAGCUCUCCGGAUGUCAUUCCACAUUCGCCUGGCUCUGCGUAAAACCCGCUCAUUCAAGAUGGUGUCCAUGAGGUUUGUCAUGUGUCUGGAGUUAUGGUAGACACCAAUCCGUUGAUCAGGGGCCAAACAGUCGGAGGAGUUUCCCCAGCUGUCUCAUGGAGGACAUCGCAGAAAUUUCCAUAUCAAAAUAUGUGAUUAGUCUAAACUCAAUCAGCUUUUGUAAAGCAAGACAUUAUGGUGGCUAGAUUUUGUUUGUGAAAUUGGCUUUCCAUUGUUAGAAAUAUUGGAUCUACUCUUUCUGAUGUGCACACAAUAAAACCCGUUUAAACAAG